rnacentral:rRNA from 1 species
AUUGAACGCUGGCGGCAGGCCUAACACAUGCAAGUCGAGCGGAGCGGCGGACGGGUGCGUAAUGCCAAUGUCUCGGCCUGGUCGUGGGGGAUAACGUCCGGAAACGGGCGCUAAUACCGCUUACUCUUAGCUUCGCCUAGGCCGGAUUAGCUAGUUGGUGGGGUAAAGGCCUACCACGGCGACGAUCCGUAACUGGUCUGAGAGGAUGAUCAGUCACACUGGAACUGAGACACGGUCCAGACUCCUACGGGAGGCAGCAGUGGGGAAUAUUGGACAAUGGGCGAAAGCCUGAUCCAGCCAUGCCGCGUGUGUGAAGAAGGUCUUCGGAUUGUAAAGCACUUUAAGUUGGGAGGCGUUACCAACAGAAUAAGCACCGGCUAACUUCGUGCCAGCAGCCGCGGUAAUUC